UUUGGAAAGAAAAGAAAAGGAUGAUUACUCACCCAUGUGGAGGAGCCAUCAGGGAAGCUCACUGUAUGUGGGAGGGCUGUGGUCCAGAUGGAAGUCAGAAGCGAGCCACUUCAGCGAGGCUGGGCAGUGUUGCCUGAUCCAGAUGCAGAUGGUGCAGUCCUGUGUUAAAACUGGCACACAGGAGACUGCUGGAGUCACACGGAGCCAGAGACACCAACGGCCCUGAACCGUCCAGCGUUAAUGUGUACAAACACGCUGAAGAGAGAAUAUGGAGGGGACAAGAAUCAAACCAUGUGGAUCGGACGUUUUUAGGAAAAAGCAUGACAUGCACUAAAUGUAAUGUGUUUACUGUUGCCUUUGACAGUAGCUAUCUUUCCAACCACCUAUUUGCACAUUUGGGAUAUCAAAAAAUACAUAAAAAAUGCUGGAUGGCAACGCCAAGGUGCGCAUAAACUGUAUGCACAAGUGAGACAGAUAAAUGUUUUAACUAAAAAUAAACUAUGAUGGAAUUUGGGAACACAUUUACUGAAUGAAUCCUUCGAAAGCUCAACAGCGGACUAACCAGUGGACCAAUUAGACUGCACAGCAUGUCAAACGUUGGUUUGGUCAUUCUGAAAUCCCUUGAGCCAAAGUCUGUCAUCAAAAUGAUUUUUUUUAAUCUCCUCCCAGAAGCGGCUUG